CCUUGGGGCCAGCAUCCCCAAAGCUUCUGAAAAUCCCAGCUCCGAAGAGUUAACAACCAACAAUGAGCACUACUGGACAAGAGCUACAAUAAACACCCGCCAGGCAAUGUGUUUGGCUUGUUCACCCCUGUCCUGGCAUGCAACAAGCAGCAAAAGGUGGGAGAAGAGCACAUCACUCGGCAGCUCAGAAAAGUCCUCUUCUGCUCUUCAGAUGACUUGCACUGGAGUCAGCUUGAAGCCCAGUUUCUCACCUCAGACACUAACACAGGAAGUUCCACUUCCCUGAAUAUAAUGUAAUAAACAAAUAAAGCAGGAUAAUUAUAA